ACACAUGCAGUCGAGCGGAGAGAGGUAGCUUGCUACUGAUCUUAGCGGCGGACGGGUGAGUAAUACUUAGGAAUCUGCCUAUUAGUGGGGGACAACAUCUCGAAAGGGAUGCUAAUACCGCAUACGUCCUACGGGAGAAAGCAGGGGAUCUUUAUGACCUUGCGCUAAUAGAUGAGCCUAAGUCGGAUUAGCUAGUUGGUGGGGUAAAGGCCUACCAAGGCGACGAUCUGUAGCGGGUCUGAGAGGAUGAUCCGCCACACUGGGACUGAGACACGGCCCAGACUCCUACGGGAGGCAGCAGUGGGGAAUAUUGGACAAUGGGGGGAACCCUGAUCCAGCCAUGCCGCGUGUGUGAAGAAGGCCUUAUGGUUGUAAAGCACUUUAAGCGAGGAGGAGGCUUACCUGGUUAAUACCCAGGAUAAGUGGACGUUACUCGCAGAAUAAGCACCGGCUAACUCUGUGCCAGCAGCCGCGGUAAUACAGAGGGUGCAAGCGUUAAUCGGAUUUACUGGGCGUAAAGCGCGCGUAGGCGGCCAAUUAAGUCAAAUGUGAAAUCCCCGAGCUUAACUUGGGAAUUGCAUUCGAUACUGUUUGGCUAGAGUGUGGGAGAGGAUGGUAGAAUUCCAGGUGUAGCGGUGAAAUGCGUAGAGAUCUGGAGGAAUACCGAUGGCGAAGGCAGCCAUCUGGCCUAACACUGACGCUGAGGUGCGAAAGCAUGGGGAGCAAACAGGAUUAGAUACCCUGGUAGUCCAUGCCGUAAACGAUGUCUACUAGCCGUUGGGGCCUUUGAGGCUUUAGUGGCGCAGCUAACGCGAUAAGUAGACCGCCUGGGGAGUACGGUCGCAAGACUAAAACUCAAAUGAAUUGACGGGGGGCCCGCACAAGCGGUGGAGCAUGUGGUUNUAAUUUCGAUGCAACGC
rnacentral:rRNA from 1 species